UGACGCUGACCAGCCUGUAGUUCCCUAGAUCCUUCUUCUUGCCUUUCUUGAAGGUAGGGGUGACAUUUGCUUUCUUUCAAUCCUCAGGAACCUCUCCCGAUCGCCACAACCUUUCAAAGAUAAUCAAGAAUGGCCUUGCAGUGCACUGACCGGUCUUGAUAGAGCUGUGUAGUUAUCUGCUAGCCACUGUGGCUUCCACAUGCGCCCGCUGCCAGCCCCACUGUCCUGUCACCACCACAGCCAGAAUGACGCAUGGGAUUCUGGAUGGCGUCUGCUACUCACCUCUACGCUGACAUUGGAAGAAUCAGCUUUUUUCCAGCUAACGAGCCUUCUCAAGAUGUCCCCUGUGUCCUCCUUCCCCACCAGAAGAAAACCAAAUCGUGGACUGUGUCUUUCCACCCUUGUACAGGCUACAGAACGGGAUGAGCUGCCACAAUACCCUUAUCUCAAAGACCAGGUUUUGUUUGUGGGAUCUUAAACAAUGAAAACCUCUUUUUAAAAAAAAAAGCAUCCUCCAAAAAAGCAAGAAGGUCCAAAUGCUGACCUCUAUCAUGCAUGUGGGAAUGAAUGCUUAUGAAGUGACGGUACUAUAGCUGCCAAAAGGAUUCCUUCGCAAUUGGCAAUUGAUGGAAACCCCAUAAGUUGUAUAUGUGAAGGUAACGUUGGACUCUGCGUUUUUUAAGACAGCAGAAAGAACAACCGCCUUUUGAAGACUAGGAAUGUUAUGUUCAGAUUUUGAGGCUAUGAAAAGGUUAGUGAAAGAGAAACAAGACGGAUUGCAGAAAAGCCUUCAAACCUUUAAUGCAGACCUCUGUUGUAUAAUAAAAGCACCGUAGUGAGGGUGGUGUGAUAAAUU
rnacentral:lncRNA from 1 species